rnacentral:lncRNA from 1 species
GCCUACACAAACAGGAUGAGGAAAUUCAUCGGACCGGCUCUAGUUCGGCCUUCCGACUCUGAAGCUUAGCUAAGCUUUAAAGUAAGAAAUAUUAGAGUUAUAUUACCGCAUUUUAGCCAAAUUUGUUUCUUUGGAAGCUCGACUUUGAGGUGUUGAACUCAAGAGAUCGACUUUGGAGAGUUGGCGAACUCAGUUUGAUCUUCAUUGCGGCCUCCUUUUUGGCAUCGGCUUGAAGCCUUGAUCUGAGCGCUCAAGAUCCUAUGGUCCUACCAGAAGGAAAGAAGGAGAGAUGACGGGUGAGGGCUUAGGAGCCUCUUACCUCGAAAG